rnacentral:rRNA from 1 species
GACGAACGCUGGCGGCGUGCUUAACACAUGCAAGUCAAGGGGCCGCAGGCGACCGGCGACGGUGCGUAACACGUGAGCAAUCUGCCUAGAUGUGGGGGAUAGCCGGCCCAACGGCCGGGUAAUACCGCAUACGCUCACCGGGUGGCAUCACCUGGUGAGGAAACAUUUUUGGCAUCUAGAGGAGCUCGCGGCCUAUCAGCUAGUUGGUGGGGUAACGGCCUACCAAGGCAUUGACGGGUAGCUGGUCUGAGAGGAUGGCCAGCCACAUUGGGACUGAGAUACGGCCCAGACUCCUACGGGAGGCAGCAGUGGGGAAUAUUGCGCAAUGGCCGAAAGGCUGACGCAGCGACGCCGCGUGGGGGAUGAAGCAUUUCGGUGUGUAAACCCCUGUUGCUCGGGACGAACAACUGGAUUUUUCCAGUCUGACGGUACCGGGUGAGGAAGCACCGGCUAACUCCGUG